rnacentral:rRNA from 1 species
UACGGAGGGAGCUAGCGUUGUUCGGAAUUACUGGGCGUAAAGCGCACGUAGGCGGCUACUCAAGUCAGAGGUGAAAGCCCAGGGCUCAACCCUGGAACUGCCUUUGAAACUAGGUAGCUAGAAUCUUGGAGAGGUCAGUGGAAUUCCGAGUGUAGAGGUGAAAUUCGUAGAUAUUCGGAAGAACACCAGUGGCGAAGGCGACUGACUGGACAAGUAUUGACGCUGAGGUGCGAAAGCGUAGGGAGCAAACAGG